AUGGCUCCUAACACUUGAAUAUCCAUGUGAGCCCACAGGAAUUCCGCAUCCCAGCUCCCAGUUGUAUUUUGUAGGCUUUCCAUCACUACCAAAGCUGGAGACAGCUAUCACUGACUGUGCGCCACACAGAGAUAAACAGUGUUCUUCAGCUGCUCUUUGUUCUGAGGGCCACCACCCCCCAGCUUCUGACCAGACAGGCUUCCUUCCCCACUGGCCCAUGGACCUUCUUGACCAAGAAAACCACCCCUCCAUGCUGGCACUUGCACCACAUUGUGUGAAGGCACAGAAGAGAAUGAUUUAGUGACUAUCUGCCAUUAUCCCUUCAAAACAUCUUUACAACGUGGAGGUGGAAAAUGAGGAGAAAGAUGAGCUUUGCAGGCGAAGUGAAGAAGCUGAUCCCUCUGGCAGAGGAACAGUCUGCAAGUCUCCCAUUAUGGAACCAAACUGUACAGGGUCACACAGAUCACCAUGCAGGCCAAGGUCACCCUUAUCUGCAUUAGCAUUAGCCCUUAUUUGUCUUUCAGCCUUUACUCCCAAAGAGCUGAAAGCCCAAAGCAGAGCAGAAUAUACAACUCCUUUUCCCUGGACACUUAUUGCAUUAUUAAAGAUGGAUUUAAACAAGUUUUUCCUAUCCGAAAGCUAAAAUGCCUUAAAAAAAAAAAAAAAGCAGAAAAUGACAACUUUGCCUGAGGGAAACCACUCUUUGUUUUGGCUUAACUGAACACCCAUUAAUUUUAUAAGAAUGGGCAGGGGGAAGGGUUUGCAUCUCCUCAGAUUUAUAGCUUUCUCAUGCCAACUGGGAAGGAAAUUCUCACAUGCUCAUGGAGCAUCAGACUUCUCCCACAAAGCUCAUAUUUACAGAAGAAUGCAAAGUUCCCCAAGGGAGUCUACGAGCUGAUGAGACUACGAGGAUCUGUUAUUUAUAUUACAACAGUGCCCAAGAUUCUUGGGACAUUGCACACAUUUGGGGGAAGACACAGCCCCUCCCUCUUCACGCUCACAGCAAAUUAUUCACUUUCAUGGAAAUCAGCAUGAGCUUCACGUGUUUUCUGGAACAGAGCUAUUAGUUCACACACCCCAGAGGCAACUUGAUGCCUGUGUCUGGCCACUGCAGCAAACAAUGAGCCUUCUCAUUCGGGUGAUACUUGCUGUGCCCAAGCUUGCCAGACAGGAUUGCAGGCAAGCAACAUGAGCCACGAUGUGCCAGAUGCACCAGCGUACCCUGGAAACAACCCCACUCGACUCACUGGAGCUGAUUGCUAAAGAAGUGUGUGUGUAAUCUGAGCAAUUUAACGAAGUUGGUGAGUUCCUGGGAGUGUGCUGAAUCAAGCAGCUGCUGACAGAGCUGGUGUCAUCACUUCUCCUUCAAGCCACAAAUGACUCAUCCUGGUUAAUGCAACCAGUUUUCCACUUGUGUAUGCUGGGGGGCACAGAACAAAGAAAAGGUUGCAGCAUGAUUUGCCCUGAAGCCAGAACACAGCUCUGUCAUGAGAAAUAGCUCGCUGAAGGGAAACAAGUCGUUUCACAAACCUCAAAGUAUCCACUGAGCCUACAGAGCCUUCUAGAAUGGAAAGGGCUUCACAGAAAAAAAGUACAGACUGCUGAAAGGACCAGAAUGGGUGGGGGAAGAAAGGAAAGCCCCGUAAAGUGUCAAAUGCAGAAUGCCUGACUGUGUGCUGGAAAGUCCUCCUCCUGCAGUUUGUGUGCAAUACAGAGAAGUGAUGGGCUUACAAAUACAGAAAGGGAAGUUUGGGUUAGAAUGAAGAAAACACUUUCUACCAGAGAGAACAAAGUUGUUGAAUAGGAGAGACUACAACACCUCGCCUUCAGAGGUCAGCCAAGGGACCCACAACCCAUCUUCCAAACACCUACUGACCCCACACAGGAUGGGGAGAAGGACAAGACAGAUACAUAGGGCCCCUUGCAGCCCUACAAUCAACUGGGAGCUCCUCAAAAAGAAAUUAAAGAACUCGGAAACAUGUCCUGACAUCAGAGCUCAGGGCUAAGCACAUUGGGACUGUCACUGCUGCAUUCAAAUCUAAACAGAUUCCAGAAGGGCUGCAUCCUGAUGGAUGCAUGCCAGCUAGAGACUCCAGGGGGGACCACAGAGCCUCCCCAUCCUAACUCUGAGUUUUGGAAUUGCUGUACUAUGCCUACAGCCCAGAAGUAGCACAAGUAGAAAAGGACUGUACUUCUGAAAGCCCCAAAUUUGCCUGGGGCAACACUGCACAGAAGAAUUUAACCAGUAGUACUCUCACUCCCACAACAAAUCUUCACAGAGCUCAGCUUCUCCUGGAGGUGAGCUGAGCAUCCCUGCCCUGAGGGCAGCAGACGAGCUCCUACCAACUCCCUUUCCACAGAAGUCUUAACUGUUUCUUAUUACUUUUAACUUCUGAUAGGGAGCAAAGCCUGUUGUCACACAGAGGUUUUAAGCAACUAACAUUUGUCUUCCUGCCUACAGAAAGCUGCCAAAUCAUAAAGCUCCAUCCUGUUUGUAAAGCAAGCCCUAGGGUAUUAUUUUUCCUAAAGUCAAUGAUGUCACAGAAAUACUACUUGAAAACAGAAUCUAAAAUUACACUCUUGAGUGCAACACAUUCUGGAGUUUUCGUUGGCACUGCUAAAAUUGUUCUGUUGUGUUUUUCUGGCACAGGCCACAGUCAGAUAAUUGCUUGGGGCUAAUCUUGAGAAGGCAAAAUAUACACAACCAGCACAAUUCCACUUCUGCUCCAUGUUCUAUUAAGAAACAAAUAUUCUCCACAGCAUGAAGUCCGGUUAUCUUUGCCAAAAAUAUGUACUAAGUGGAGCUGAGUGAAUUUGGAGAGGGGGGUAAAGAGUACAAUUCUGGCAGUGCCAAAAGCCUUUGUGAAUUAUUGCACAACCAAAUUGGGGUGAGGUGUUCCAAAGCUGGAAUUGUGAGGUCAAAGAGCUUUGUUUUAGCCUGAAGGAAUUCUGGUCUCCCCCCCUCCCAGAAGUAUGAAUGAACAAGGCAGAGAAGGGGACACCUAGCCCACACUCUGCUCUGUCUCCAAGCACAAUUUCAUAACUGUUCCAGACAAGUUAAAUCAGCCAUUUAAAGACCUUUCCACCUCCUAAUUUUACUGGGUUAUAAAAGAUUUGUUGCCCAGCAUUAUUCCACCCUAUUUACAGUAGCAGAAACUUGGUGCCAAGAACCAGAGCACAUGAAGCCAUUGUAGAGAGGUGGUAGCAAGCAGUGCCAAGUCCUGCUUUCAAGAGCAUGCUUGCAGCACCGCCGGUGUAAUUGGGCCAGCUACCAUGCAGUUCAGUCAGAUAUCCCCUUCACCACAUCUGGCAGAAAUCAUCAUCAUGCCCAGAAUACCAGCAUCCAGGUACAGCUUCACAUCAGUGUCUCAGGAUGCAGGCUUGGAGAAGCCCAACUCCUGAUUUAUUUUGGCACCUUUGCUAUUGACCCCAGCUGCAACCAGAGCUGUGGAAACAUUAGAAGAAAGCGAACCACACUUCAUCAAAACUCAAAGCCCAAAUCUUUGUUAUUUGGAUGAAAGCCAAUAUUUAGAGAACAAGCAAGUUGUAUGAAGAACCUCAACAGGAGACAAAAACAGAAAGAAGCCCCAUUUUUCCACAGGAAGAAUCCUCGCCUGCACCAAGUCAGCCAGCCUCUUCGAGAUGAGUACUGGUACAGCCAUUGCUGACACAUCCUGGAUGACAGGAUGCUUUCAGGAGCAAAUUCAUCAAGUGUUCUACUUAAACAUUGCAAAUGGGCAGCGAAAGCUGCAUCUUUGACCAAGGACAGGGAACAAGAGGAUGUGGAAGGGCAAAUAAGGCAAACUGCUUAUGGUUGAGAAUCAGAAAAAGAGGAGGUGACCAAAGGGACUAACAGUAUUUCACAACAGGAUCUGGACAACAUUUGCCAGGGAGAUGCGAAGAGCUGGAUCAGUGACAGAGCCAUGACAUCUAAUCGAGGGUGACAUCUGCCUCUGGCUAGAGCAGCAAGAUUGUUUUCACCACUGCUGGAAAGAAGACCGCUGUAGUCAGAAACAGAGCUGCUGAGGAAAGAAGUAUGAGUGUAGGAAGAAAGCAGUCAGGAAUUCACUAUUACACACAAAACGGAGGCAUACAUUAGACAUCACCCAAAGAAAGAGUAAAUAAAAUGCUAGACUAGAACCUUGGUGGGUUACAGAGAGUGAUUAAGGAAGUAGGGACAGUUGGGGGAGAAAGGCCAGUGACUUUCACACUUCAUUCAGGUUGUUUAAGAGUCAUUUGGCAGAGACACCCUCGUGGGGUGGGAAGAUGCAGUAGCAAAAAUUGGAGACAAUUCCCAGUAGUACAGUUGGCAACAUGUGAAAUCCAGAGAGAAAGGUCAGCACAGAGGCAGAGAACAAGCAAGACAGAUUAUUGGGGUUUAAAACAAGAGACACCUUAGAAAGUCAAAAUGAAACACGUCUGUUUAUUGAUAGCUCUUUGAGACUGAGCUAAAUUUAAAAUCAAGAACACUUGAAAUGUUCUACACAGACGUGGUUAGUUGUACUGCUUUGGUUAACACCCUUCCUGGCAGCAAAAGGCACUUUCAUGUGGUAAAGGCAGUGCUAGGAGAACAUAGCAGCAUUCUCCUAGCCGUUCUCCAAGCAAGAACACUGCUGUGUUCUCCUCACCUGACCUCCGCUAGGUUAGUCUGCACAUUUCUGCCCAGUGGGUCUCCAUUCCCCAUUCCCAAAAUCGGAGACCUCAGAAGGUUACCCAGUUACUGGGCAGCGUAAGUCAGCAGUUGCCAGCACCACCCAACAACCACCCAAAUCAGCACAACAUGCAAAGCAUGGAGAGCAUCUCAGAGCUCCCUUUGCAUCACCCAGGUCUGAAAAGGAUGCCUCUUCCCAAAGAAUCCCAGGUCUGUCAUUGCAGAGGGUCAGGACAGACUCCUUAGAGAGUCACAGGAUUCAUGCUGUCACUCAUAUUAAUGAUGCAAUGCUUUAUUAAUUGGAGUUUUCCUGAACAGCAUGUGUAGUAUCAGUGACACUCAUAAUUAAAUAGGCAGGCAGCAUUUUUUUUUUUUUUAAAUGAGCAGAGAGUUAAUUGAAUUCUGGAGUCCCUGUGAUCAGCUGUGAAAUUUAUACCUGCAAUUUGUGCAGGCAGCAAGAACUAGAGCCUUUGGGGCCUUGUUAUUCAUCAAAAAUAGGCUGAUUUAUUUGUGCCAAGUAUCUCUGUAGGAGGCUCUUGGGCCCGAUGUACAGUCACUUUCCUCCAAUUAACCUCCCUGGCCUAGAGGGAAAAGAGAAUUAGACAUCUGUUAAAAGCACGAACCUAGUCUUGAGAAAGUAGGCACAUUUUAGUGAAGCCAACUCUCAUCUGAGUUAACCUCUGGCCACCAGUAGUUGAGGAGUUCCCAGCAUGAAAUAUGUCAAGAACAGCUGAGACAAACUACAGAGCUGAAGUUAAUCACAGACAACAGGAGGUGGAAUGGACCUGGCUUGAGACAGUUGGACCUGCCUUCACACUCGUUUUUACUAUGAACAUCUCUAACUCUGCUUCAAGUUUUCUACCAUUGUUAGUACCUUGGCAACUACCACCCCUCCAGACAUUUGAUUUUCCUUUCUCUUGGCCUGCCCUACACAUAAAUCCUCUACAGCCAUACAACUACUUUCCAAGACUGAAUUAGUUACUUAUCACCAGGUAAUUUCUCUCCUUCCAUUUUCCCAGCUUGUCUAUGCGAAAUUCAGUCCCCAGAAGACAGUGUUUUGGUCAGCUCUUUUCAUGCCACCUUUCUUCCAAUUACUGCUAGAUCUGGGUAAAUCUCUGUAAAAGAACUGGAACUGUUUCACCUUUUUUUUUUUUUUUUGUCUUGCUCAGGUUGGGGCUCAGCUCAAGGCUGCUCAGCACAGUGGAAGCAGGCAUUUCUCAGCAGUACAAAGAAUAAUUUGUAUGUGCAUUCAGGAAACUUUCCAGCCACGCACUCCUUUGCAUCACCAUCUCAAGACAGACCAGACAGCAUCUGAGCAGGGGUUUAUUUGGAGCUAAGUGCCUCCAAACUGCCCAAGGCCUUUGUUAACCUUCUCUUAGAAUUAAAUAUUAUUAUAGAGCAAUGGUAGAGCCAGAAACCAAUGAUAUCUUUGCUCAACUGAGUUUCCAGUGCCGGGCUAGCUCUGCCAACAAUAUGACAUUAUUCUUCAGCACUGAAGCUCUGCACCAGCACGUAUUAGCUAAUCCCCUGCAAGCGUGCAGGAUAUAGAUUUCA